rnacentral:tRNA from 1 species
GGAGAGUUCGCAUAGUGGUCUAGUGCGCUUGCUUGGAAAGCAAGUGUGUUGUAAAAGGCACCGAGGGUUCGAAUCCCUCACUCUCCGCCA